rnacentral:rRNA from 1 species
UACGUAGGGUGCAAGCGUUAAUCGGAAUUACUGGGCGUAAAGCGUGCGCAGGCGGUUUUGUAAGUCUGACGUGAAAUCCCCGGGCUUAACCUGGGAAUUGCGUUGGAGACUGCAAGGCUGGAGUCUGGGCAGAGGGGGGUAGAAUUCCACGUGUGAGGCAGUGAAAUGCGUAGAGAUGUGGAGGAACACCGAUGGCGAAGGCAGCCCCCUGGGU